AGAGACAUGUAGCGAAAUCUGUUUUCUUUUAUUGUGUCUGUGUGCAUCAUUCAAAAUUAGAGAAUGUAAUUUUGAAGUAUCAAAGGGAAGAGGGGUAGGACCUUUAUCGGAACUCCGGGAUAGGCUGUUUUUAAGCUCGGGAUUUCGGGAUUGACCCUUUCGGGAUCCGGGAAUUCUAUUUCCGAAUUUCGGGUAGUCGGGAUUUAGAUUUUUUUUAAUUCGAGACCUCGCCGGAUUUCGUGUUUUUAAGCCCGGGAUUUUGGGAUCUGGAUCCCUCCUUCCCUCCUCCCUCUAUUAUGGUUAAAGAAAAGAGGUCAUGGAAGUUUUGUGAUACUUGUAACUGCAAUUUAAUAUUUAGU
rnacentral:lncRNA from 1 species